CAGUUCUGGCAAUACACUGAGGUACUGGUACUCUCCUGUAUGGUAUCGGUACUCAACACUGAAAUCCUGCACUUUACGGAUUUCAGCGUCAGAACUCCAUUCUCGCUUCGCGUCGAGUCCGUUUUGUGUCCAUUUCGCGCCAAAACGAUUCCAACUUGUCCCGACACUCUCCAGAUGUGUCGACAAGUCUCAAAUGCUGAAAUCUCACAGGCAAAUCAAAAUCCAGGGAUACUACAAAUUUAAAUCUUAU
rnacentral:lncRNA from 1 species